ensembl:lncRNA novel transcript, antisense to DUSP1
GGAGGCAUGUCAUCAUUAAUUGACAGCAUUUUCCUUUCUUAAUGGUGCACAGAUUAAUGAAAGGGCCUCAGAACUGAUGACAUCUUAGAGCCAGUAGAUGCAGUAAAGUAUAAAAGGUUUAAGAUGGAGAAGAAUUAAAGUGCUACAGUCAUUCAGUUAACAUCCGUUCUAGUAGUGGGACAGACUUGUUAAGUGCCAGGAUAGAAACUGGGUAGCCCAGGAAAGAUGCCCAGAGGAGGGGACGUCUACUUGGAGAUGUAAAGGCUGAUGUAGGAUAGAAAUACCUGGAGGAAAUGCCUUUGAGAGAUCUCAAAGCAAGGCUUGUUGGACAAAUAAAUGAAGAUGAGCCCAAGAGCCCAGGAGAGGGACCGGGAACAGCAGGGCCUCCGUGACUCACACAAGCUUCAUCCCUGAACCAAGGACGCAGCCUGCCAACAAUGGCCCCAAGCCACACCCCGCCACAGGGGGAACUGAUGCUGCGGUGAGAAGUGACAGCUUUCUGUUGACUCUUUUUUUUUUCAAGCAGAAUAUGAAUUGAGACAUACUUUCAUUUUCAUAAUCAGAACCUAACACUUAGUAACCAAUGUUGGUGGAAGCAAAUGAGAUCACAGUUUGUCUGUUCCAAACUCAUCUCUGGGAAAAGGAGGAGGAAAAAUUAUUGGCACUAUGUUCAGAAUCAUAGCUGAAGAUGCAGAAAUUGUUCAUCCC